CCUCUCCCUCCAAGUCUGGCACUGAACGCGAACUGUUUUGCUUUGCUCCGGGAAGAGUGCAGACACAUAACGUGGAAUCCCGAGCUUUUUGCGUGGUGCAUUUAAAAUGCUUCCUUAUUUGUAUUACCCUCAUUCCCUCACCUCUCCCACCCCCUCACCAGUCCUUCCAAAUUUCCCUAGAAAUCUAUGUAAAGCGUGCGGAGGGGAAACAUUUGCACAAAAAGUGAAGGAGCUCGCCAAGGUAGUCAGACCUGUCCUGACAGCCGGAGGCCUACGUGAGGGGUGGCCACGGAAGGAGGGGGUCUCAGAGGCCACAGGAACUGAAGAAUCUGAACACAUGAGCUCCGGAGUCCCCGGAAAAUGUCAAGUUUUAUCUUCUGAAGAAACUUGGAGACUUUUGUAAAGGUGAAACUUUUCAUCUUUAGGACUGAACACCUUCUCAACUGAACUUAAAGGAGAGAUUAAGUACAAUGUUUUGAGCUAUGUUUAAAUGAAGAUGAGCUGGAAGAAGACAGAACUGUUAAAAAUACGUAAGUUUUAUUAUGUAACCAAAUGAAGGAUUCGGCUCUUUUGUAACGGUAUUCUUAAAAAUUCCUAGCUUCUAUGAAAUUCCCUAGUUAUGGAAUUUUCUUUCAUUAUAUUGAGCUACUCCUGAUUCCAUCAUGAAAAUCUGAUCUGAAACUCAAUUUACAGACAUACUGAAAAUGAAUUUGAAAUUAAAUGAGACCAUCUGUAUACUAAUAUGAUGCAAUAUUGUUGAUUCACAUUUUUCCAUAUUAAAGACUGUUCUGAACUCUAAAUCUUUUAAAUAAAUGAGACCGAAAUUUAA